rnacentral:rRNA from 1 species
GACCCCUCGCAAGCGGUGGAGCAUGCUGUUUAAUUCGAUGCAACGCGAAGAACCUUACCUAGAUUUGACCUUCUACAACUUUCUUUGAAAAAAGGAUUUAUCAGUCUUCUUCGGGAGCAGUAGAUACAGGUGGUGCAUGGCUGUCGUCAGUUCGUGUCGUGAGAUGUCAGGUUAAGUCCUAGAAACGAACGUAACCCUUGUUUUUAGUUGAGUAGCAAGAGUCUCUUGACUCUUGUCUUCUAAGAAGACGGCCAGCGGGCAAGUUGGAGGAAGGAGAGGAUGACGCCAAGUCAGUAUGCCCCAUAUGUCUAGGGCUACAAGCGUGCUACAAUGGUCAAGACAAAAAGUUACGAGCUUGUGAAAGUAAGUGAAUCUUAAAACUUGAUCUGAAGUUCGGAUUGUAGGCUGCAACUCGGCUACAUGAAGUUGGAAUCGCUAGUAA